CCUAUGGGUUUUAGCCUUCUUCAAACUGCCCUGCCCUGAAAAUAAGUAUUUUGUCCCCCUUAAUGAAGGAAAGAAGCAUCAUAGUGCUAGCAGGAUGUGUAGAUGCGAACAACCACAACAAUAGACCUCUGUUGGCAACAGAGUGGAAAAUGGGGAGCCAUGUUCUGUUCGUGAAAAUAACUGACAUCCAGGUGCUAUACCAGAUUCUACCUGCAGAGAAACAUGGAAGAUUAAACUUCUGGUGCCGGUGACUGACCCAGAUUGGAACCUGCAACAUUAUCCUGGAACACAUAUAUUUGCCUUCAUUCAUAAAAGAAACUGUCUGAAUAAUGGUGUUGUGGCCUAGAGCUUCCCUAAGUGCGUAUGAUCGUCUGGAAAUGAAGUGAAUUAUAUUGUAACAUCUCAAGCUGGGAACAGCUGCCUAGGUAGA